rnacentral:rRNA from 1 species
UACGUAGGCAGCGAGCGUUGUUCGGAGUUACUAGGCGUAAAGGGUGUGUAGGCGGUUCUCUAAGUUUGGUGUGAAAUCUCCCGGCUCAACCGGGAGGGUGCGCCGAAAACUGGAGGGCUAGAGUGCGGGAAGGGAGAGUAGAAUUCCUGGUGUAGCGGUGAAAUGCGUAGAUAUCAGGAGGAAUACCGGUGGUGCAGACGGCUCUCUGGACCGCGACUGACGCUGAGACACGAAAGCGUGGGUAGCAAACAGG